rnacentral:lncRNA from 1 species
AUCCAUUUCUGUAUAUCUUGUCGAAUAUGACAGGAAAGCAUACCAAUAAAUCUUUUCUCCUCCAUUUAUCACAGGUUUUGACAAUAAGAAUGUGAGCAAAGACAGAGACACAGAGUUUAAGGAGAUGUUGCUGCUGCCCUAAACUUAUGUCACAGAAACACUCCCAUCUUGAAAUCACAGGUGCACUGUUGAUCAGGAACUGCAGUGGCUGAUGAUAUAAUCCUUGUAGGACAGAACGGUAAAAGAGAAGAGGGAAAAAUUGUAAAUUUUUUCUCUAAAAAGAGAUUUGAAGUUUCUUUCUUCAUUUCCGGUGGCUUGCUGAUCAAGCUAGCAGGAAGUUACAGGCAAGUCAUGAUUAUAUUCAACUCAUCACAUCAAGGAACUCCAUUGUUCAAAUCCCACUGCCAUUUUGGCUUGUUGACAAUGUAACAAAUUUUCAGUAAAAUAAUUUGUG